rnacentral:misc_RNA from 1 species
GGGGAAUUUUCCGCAAUGGGCGCAAGCCUGACGGAGCAAGACCGCGUGAGGGAGGAAGGCUUUUGGGUUGUAAACCUCUUUUAUUCGGGAAGAAGAUCUGACGGUACCGAAUGAAUCAGCAUCGGCUAACUCCGUGCCAGCAGCCGCGGUAAUACGGAGGAUGCAAGCGUUAUCCGGAAUUAUUGGGCGUAAAGCGUCCGCAGGUGGCAUACCAAGUCUGCUGUUAAAGCGCGGGGCUUAACCCCGUAUAGGCGGUGGAAACUGGUAGGCUAGAGUACAGCAGGGGUUGCGGGAAUUCCCGGUGUAGCGGUGAAAUGCGUAGAUAUCGGGAAGAACACCAGCGGCGAAAGCGCGCGACUGGGCUGUAACUGACACUCAUGGACGAAAGCUAGGGGAGCGAAAGGGAUUAGAUACCCCUGUAGUCCUAGCUGUAAACGAUGGAGACUAGGUGUUGGACGUAUCGACCCGUUCAGUGCCGUAGCUAACGCGUUAAGUUUCCCGCCUGGGGAGUACGCACGCAAGUGUGAAACUCAAAGGAAUUGACGGGGGCCCGCACAAGCGGUGGAGUAUGUGGUUUAAUUCGAUGCAACGCGAAGAACCUUACCAGGGCUUGACAUGUCGCGAAUCCCCUUGAAAGGGGGGAGUGCCUUCGGGAGCGCGAGCACAGGUGCUGCAUGGCUGUCGUCAGCUCGUGUCGUGAGAUGUUGGGUUAAGUCCCGCAACGAGCGCAACCCUCGUUCCUAGUUGCCAGCAUUAAGUUGGGCACUCUAGGGAGACUGCCGGUGACAAACCGGAGGAAGGUGAGGAUGACGUCAAGUCAGCAUGGCCCUUACGCCCUGGGCUACACACGUACUACAAUGCUCCGGACAAAGGGUUGCAAGUUCGCGAGGACAAGCCAAUCCCAUAAACCGGGGCUCAGUUCAGAUUGCAGGCUGCAACUCGCCUGCAUGAAGGCGGAAUCGCUAGUAAUCCCAGGUCAGCAUACUGGGGUGAAUACGUUCCCGGGCCUUGUACACACCGCCCGUCACACCAUGGGAGUUGGUUUUGCCCGAAGUCGUUACUCCAACCGAAAGGAGGAGGAUGCCGAAGGCAGGGCUGAUGACUGGGGUGAAGUCGUAACAAGGUAGCCGUACCGGAAGGUGUGGCUGGAUCACCUCCUUUAGGGAGACCUACCCACUUUAAUCUGAGAACACACAGUUAAUAGGAUAAAGUUGGUCAUCCCAAGGUCGUUCGAGUAUUUCUGUAGGCUUCCAAAUUAUCCAGGUUUGGUUCAUCACUUUGAGAUGAGUGUUAAUGACUUUACUGUAUUUCUAGUUCAAUCUAUUGAGUUAGAUAAAUGGGUGAAGGUUAAUUAGCAUUAGUUGAGGAGUGAGCGGGUCACACCAACAUGGGCUAUUAGCUCAGGUGGUUAGAGCGCACCCCUGAUAAGGGUGAGGUCCCUGGUUCGAGUCCAGGAUGGCCCACCUUCAGUGAUAGGUGGAGAAUGACUAUGCCUAAAGUCGAUAGAUGAGGGAAUAGUCAGGAGGAAGAGUCAUGAUMAAUGGGGGUAUAGCUCAGUUGGUAGAGCGCCUGCCUUGCACGCAGGAAGUCAGCGGUUCGAGUCCGCUUACCUCCACUGGGAAGAACUGAGGCGAGAGUUUCAGGAAGUAAGCCCAGGGAAUGGGAAAAAGCUUCAGCAACUUGUCUAAUCCAUAUGUUAGAUUAGAGAGCCUGCUGGGGAGAACCCAGCCAGAACCUUGAAAACUGCAUAGUAACUUGUCAGGUAGGUAAGUUUUUAGCGAAUAGCACUGAGUUGUUA